GUGGGGAAUUUUGGACAAUGGGGGCAACCCUGAUCCAGCAAUGCCGCGUGUGUGAAGAAGGCCUUCGGGUUCAAAGCACUUUGUCCGGAAAGAAAUCCCUUGCCCUAAUACGGCGGGGGAGACGUACCGGAAGCUGGACCAAC
rnacentral:rRNA from 1 species